AGAGUUUGAUCCUGGCUCAGGAUGAACGCUGGCGGCGUGCUUAACACAUGCAAGUCGAACGAAGCACCUUGAUUUGAUUUUUCGGAUGAAGAUCCUGGUGACUGAGUGGCGGACGGGUGAGUAACGCGUGGGUAACCUGCCUCAUACAGGGGGAUAACAGUUAGAAAUGACUGCUAAUACCGCAUAAGACCACAGCACCGCAUGGUGCAGGGGUAAAAACUCCGGUGGUAUGAGAUGGACCCGCGUCUGAUUAGGUAGUUGGUGGGGUAACGGCCUACCAAGCCGACGAUCAGUAGCCGACCUGAGAGGGUGACCGGCCACAUUGGGACUGAGACACGGCCCAAACUCCUACGGGAGGCAGCAGUGGGGAAUAUUGCACAAUGGGGGAAACCCUGAUGCAGCGACGCCGCGUGAGCGAUGAAGUAUUUCGGUAUGUAAAGCUCUAUCAGCAGGGAAGAAAAUGACGGUACCUGACUAAGAAGCACCGGCUAAAUACGUGCCAGCAGCCGCGGUAAUACGUAUGGUGCAAGCGUUAUCCGGAUUUACUGGGUGUAAAGGGAGCGUAGACGGAGUGGCAAGUCUGAUGUGAAAACCCGGGGCUCAACCCCGGGACUGCAUUGGAAACUGUCAAUCUAGAGUACCGGAGAGGUAAGCGGAAUUCCUAGUGUAGCGGUGAAAUGCGUAGAUAUUAGGAGGAACACCAGUGGCGAAGGCGGCUUACUGGACGGUAACUGACGUUGAGGCUCGAAAGCGUGGGGAGCAAACAGGAUUAGAUACCCUGGUAGUCCGCACGGUAAACGAUGGAUGCCCGCUGUUGGCCUGAAUAGGUCAGCGGCCAAGCGAAAGCAUUAAGCAUCCCACCUGGGGAGUACGCCGGCAACGGUGAAACUCAAAGGAAUUGACGGGGGCCCGCACAAGCGGAGGAACAUGUGGUUUAAUUCGAUGAUACGCGAGGAACCUUACCCGGGCUUGAAUUGCAGAGGAAGGAUUUGGAGACAAUGACGCCCUUCGGGGCCUCUGUGAAGGUGCUGCAUGGUUGUCGUCAGCUCGUGCCGUGAGGUGUCGGCUUAAGUGCCAUAACGAGCGCAACCCCUCUCCUUAGUUGCCAUCAGGUCAUGCUGGGCACUCUGGGGACACUGCCACCGUAAGGUGUGAGGAAGGUGGGGAUGACGUCAAAUCAGCACGGCCCUUACGUCCGGGGCUACACACGUGUUACAAUGGCAGGUACAGAGAGACGGUCCCUUGCAAAAGGGAUCAAAUCCUCAAAGCCUGUCUCAGUUCGGACUGGGGUCUGCAACCCGACCCCACGAAGCUGGAUUCGCUAGUAAUCGCGCAUCAGCCAUGGCGCGGUGAAUACGUUCCCGGGCCUUGUACACACCGCCCGUCACACUAUGAGAGUCGGAAACACCCGAAGCCGGUGAGGUAACCGCAAGGAGCCAGCCGUCGAAGGUGGAGCUGAUGAUUGGAGUGAAGUCGUAACAAGGUA
rnacentral:rRNA from 1 species